rnacentral:rRNA from 1 species
UGGGGGAUAUUGCACAAUGGGCGAAAGCCUGAUGCAGCGACGCCGCGUGGGGGAUGAAGGCCUUCGGGUUGUAAACUUCUUUUGCUCUGAACAAGGCAUGCUAAUGGGUGUGUUGAGUGUAGGGGUUGAUUAGCGCCGGCUAACUACGUGCCAGCAGCCGCGGUAAUACGUAGGGCGCGAGCGUUGUCCGGAAUGAUUGGGCGUAAUGGGCUUGUAGGUGGCUGGUUGCGUCUGUCGUGAAAGCUCAUGGCUUAACUGUGGGUUUGCGGUGGGUACGGGCUGGCUUGAGAGCAGUAGGGGAGGCUGGAAUUCCUGGUGUAUCGGUGGCAUGCGCAGAUAUCAGGAGGAAUACCGGUGGCGAAGGCGGGUCUCUGGGCUGUUACUGACACUGAGGAGCGAAAGCAUGGGGAGCGAACAGG